UACGGGGGGGGGCAAGCGUUGUCCGGAUUUAUUGGGCGUAAAGCGCGUGUAGGCGGCUUGGCAAGUCCGCUGUGAAAACUCGAGGCUCAACCUCGAGAUGUCGGUGGAAACUGCCUGGCUAGAGUCCGGAAGAGGAGUGUGGAAUUCCUGGUGUAGCGGUGAAAUGCGCAGAUAUCAGGAAGAACACCUAUGGCGAAGGCAGCACUCUGGGACGGUACUGACGCUGAGACGCGAAAAGCGUGGGGAGCGAACAGG
rnacentral:rRNA from 1 species